UACAGAGGGUGCAAGCGUUAAUCGGAAUUACUGGGCGUAAAGCGCAUGUAGGUGGGUGAAUAAGUUUGAUGUGAAAUCCCUGGGCUUAACCUGGGAAUGGCGUUGAAGACUGUUUGUCUAGAGUCGGACAGAGGGCCGUGGAAUUUCCGGUGUAGCGGUGAAAUGCGUAGAUAUGUGGAGGAAUACCGAUGGCGAAGGCAGCCCCCUGGGAUAACACUGACGCUCAUGCACGAAAGCGUGGGGAGCAAACAGG
rnacentral:rRNA from 1 species